UACGUAGGGGGCUAGCGUUGUCCGGAUUUAUUGGGCGUAAAGAGCGUGUAGGCGGCCAGGUAGGUCUGCUGUGAAAACUCGAGGCUCAACCUCGAGACGUCGGCGGAAACCAUCUGGCUAGAGUCCGGAAGAGGCGAGUGGAAUUCCUGGUGUAGCGGUGAAAUGCGCAGAUAUCAGGAAGAACACCCGUGGCGAAGGCGGCUCUCUGGGACGGUACUGACGCUGAGACGCGAAAGCGUGGGGAGCGAACAGG
rnacentral:rRNA from 1 species